AAGACUGUAGCAUAAUAGGUUAAUGCAAUUCGCUCAUAAUGGAUCUUAUAAGGGUUCAAUUCCCUUCGGUCUUA
rnacentral:tRNA from 20 species